rnacentral:lncRNA from 1 species
CACGAAGCGUUUGGUCGCACUAUCCCCAAAUCUCGCUUCAUCGUCUUUAUCGGUUCAUCUUCAAGCCAUCACUCCGCCAUGGAUCACACUCCAAGCCUUCCACCGUCAGCCUCCAUGGCUCCACACUCUCCUCUUUGCCCUUCCCGCCAUUCUUCCACCAGUCGGCAAGGUCGUACAAAUGGAGGUAGCCGGACUGCGGGAGUGCGGGAUGGGAGAUGCCUCAUACAGUAGUGGCAGCUCAAAUUCCGACAGGCGAGCACCGGAUCACGGAAGGUCGGACUCCGGCAGGCUGGCGGAGUUCAGUAUUAUCUAGUGUGACACUGCGAUUGCCUGGUAAGCAUCAAAUCCCCAUGAACUCCUACAUGUUUUAGGGUCAGUGCCCAUUGAUCGGGGUCGCGAUCCGGCAAUCAAUCCAGCUCGACCCGCCGUCGUCCUGACCCUCGAUCAGGGUCGAUCAACCGCGGGACGGGGAUCACGCCAUCGACCCGCGAACCAGGCUACUAUGGUUUAGAGCAUCGAAAUGACAUUUGUUUACCAUGUGGCAUGGCGCUUGCUCUAGCAAGCGCUAGAAAAUAAGGCGCGACGAUAUAGCUCCAGCAGCCGCUGCAAAAUGCUGCACACGUGAGCAGCCAAACGCCUUGACUUUCGACGUCAUGGUCUUCUUUUUUCGGGACGCCGUCUCCGACGUCGUUGCAGCCGCAUUCGAUCGCUUGGAGAUGGGGGCCCGUGGCGCCAUGAAUAGGCCGCGCGUGAGGCCGUUGAUUGGAGGAGGGAUGCCGGUGGCGAAGCCGUACUCAACCCUGCGCUAGGUUUUGCGGCGGUGGCGGAGGAGUUGCGGGUGUAGGGAGGGGUUGGGGGAUGUCGGGGGCGCCUUCAUCGGUAGAAUUUCAUCGGCGACGACAUGGGGCAGGGCGAAGGCGGGGCGGCCGGAGAGGUUCGGGCGGCAAUUGGUCUCGUGUGCACGAUUUUUGUUGUCCAACAUGAGGAAACGGGCGCCCGAAAUUACCAGCGUGCGAUGCCGUUUUGCUCCGCGCGCACAACCAACUAUACCGCGCGGGCGAUUUUAGCGCGUGUGCUUGAGUGCCAGUCUAAGCUCCGCGCAUGCAAAAAACAUGUUAUUUUGUAGCGCGCGGCUAACAUAGCGCGCUUGUUGGAGAUGCUCUUGGUCGUAGAGUGAGUGCCCCUUCAUCAUGUGCUUGUAGAAUCCCGUCGUUGUCGGGCCCAUCAUCGGGGGAUACCGGCUAGAGCAUCGACUAACACUCCACCUUGGCACUGAGCUUGUAGUAGCAAAUUUCGUCGAUUCGAGCAUCACGGGUCAGAAGUUCCAGCAUAUGGUAUUUCCAUCCGUAAGACCACGUUGUCACAAUAGCCGCACCGGCUAGCCCUCCACCCCAAGCUUGUAGCAGCUAACAUCACCGGUUCCAGCACCAGAGGUCACCGGUUUCCAGCACCUGGAAUUGUCGGCAGAAGCACCAUGUCAUCGUAGUCGUCGCACUAGAUAUUCUUCCACCCCGAGCUUGUAGCAUCAAUGUGGGGUCACUGGUUCUACCAUAUGGAAUCGCCGGUCGCAACACCAUAUCACCGCACUGGCCGUCCCUCCACCCCGAGCUUGUAGCAUCCAACAUCGCCGGUUCCAGCAUCGGGGUCAUCGGUUCCGUCAUGUGGGAUUGUGUAACGCCCAAGAUGCGACCCUAUCCUUAUUUUGGCGUGAGGGCUUCGACAUGGAUAGAAGCACAUCUCGUCAUUUCGCAAGAAUGGAUAUCAUUACAAGUACAUGUACUGAAAAGAUGAGUAUAUGGAAUUGGCUUACACUCGUCACAAGCUACAUCAGAGUCACAUCAAUACACCAAUAUACAAUCAUCAUGAAGAAGAGAAGGGUCCGAUUACGGACGAAAACAAAUGAUAAAAGAACGACGUCCAUCCUUGCUAUCCCAGGCUGCGGGCCUAGAACCCAUCCUAGAUCGAUGAAGAAGAAGAAACUCCAAAUAGCACAAUCAGCGCGCUCACGUCAAAGUAUCGCUUUACCUGUAUCUGCAACUGGUGUUGUAGUAAUUUUUGAGCCACAUGGGACUCAGCAAACUCAUUUCCAAAGGUAUCAAGACUAGCAAAGCUUAAUUGGUGAGUUAUGGUUGAGUGGUGAGGCUGCAACAAGCGACUAAGCAUUUAUUUGAGGUGGCUAACUUAUGAGUACAAGAAUAAAAGAUGGGGAUGAUCUACGCAUAGCGGAUCUAAACUACUGACGGUCAAAUGAAUGAUCCUGAAUACCUACUUACAUCAGACAUAACCCCACCGUGUCCUCAAUCGGAGAAGGAGCUCACGAAAGAGACAUUCAUGGUUACGCAUUCUGUUGGUAAGUUUUGAGUUAACUUUACUUCAAAUUAUCUAGAACCGGAUGUUAAACAAAGUUUCCAAGUUGCCACAUAACCGCGGGCACGACUUCCUAAAAGAUUUAACCCUGCAGGGGUGCUCCAACUAGUCCAUCACAAAUUACCACAAGCCGCAUAGAAAACCUCAAUCACGAAACUCGUGAUCUUCUCGGAUUCCUUAGUGGAAAACCUCAACUCUGAGAUAACCCAAAGCUUCACCGGAAUCCCGAUGCACAAGAUAUUUCGUAAAAGGUAAAACUAAUCCAGCAAGGCCACCCUUCAUGCCAACAGACCCGAUAGGAGCCGCGUAUCUCAUUCUCAGGGCACAACCGUAUGGGCAGGACGUCGAGUUGGCUGAAACCCCGGGUGACCAGGGGCGCCGGACAUCGCCCGGUUUGGACCAACACUCAUGCGGAGCACUGGCCCGGGGGUUGAUUAAAUUUCCUUGGAUUAAUUACUCCCUAUGUGGUUCAUUAGUUAUUAUGCAAAUGUAGUACCAAAGUUGGGCCUUGACAGACCAACUUUAAUCUAAACAGAUUUAUCAAGGGGGUCCCCAUAACAACCGUGAUCAUGUUAGGAGCUCUCAAUUAUGGAAUAUAACACCGGUAGCCAAAACUAAGAUGGCAAGGAUGGAACAAAUCACCACGCUAGAAAGCCGAGCCUUCCACCUUUUACCAAGUAUAUAUGUGCAUUAAUUUAAAUAGCAAUUCGUAAUGCCCCAAGUGUAACAUUGCCAUAUUUGGAACCUUGCCAUGUUUGGAUCCUUGAUGUCAUUCUAUGGAGUUAUCAUUUCAUGUGUUAUUUCAUGUGGUCAUGCCUUGUCUUCCCUUUGCAUUCAUGCAUCCACAUCAUCCAACCAUUCUUCUGUUGUUGUGGUGUUGAUCCUUAUGUGUGAUUGUGAUAAGUGCAUGUGGUGUGUGAAGUGGUAGUUGCAAGCUUGGGUUCCAACUUGCUUAUUUAGCCAAAAGCUAACUUUCAACUAAACCUCUUCUUCUUCAUUUUCUUAAGUUCAAGUUUUACUUGCUCUAUACAUGUUUGUAAAAUGUAGAUCAUUUAGAGUAUUUUCUCGUGGAUGUGGUGCUAUGUCUAGGGAUUUUAAAACUUUGCUUAAGUGGGGCUUCUAUUCACAAAACAGAUUACAAUAAUUCUGUUUUGUAAAUAUUUCUUUGCUAAAAAUCCUCUUUUCAUAUUAUUCUAAUAGGUCAUAAUUUCCUUAUGACCAGGGGCAUUUUUUUUGCAAGCCUAGAUUUUCCUAGGAGUUUAUUCUUGCUAUGAUUUGUUUUAAUGGAAAAACCCAGAGGGUUUUUCUUCUCUCUAUUUGGCACCACCAGAGUGGGCCUUCUCCCCUCGCUGGCCCAACAAUGCUUUUCCCUCGCGCGGUAGCCCACUCCCCCGUCCCUCUCCUAUUGACGUCGUCUCCUUCCUCCUCCUGCUUUCCGUCUGGGAAACAGAGUGAGAGGAGAGAGAGAGAGGUCGACGCCGUGGCUUCACGGAUGUCGAGGCGGCCCCCUCGCCCCCUAUAUAUUCCCUCGGCAUGCGUGCCUUCCCUAGGGUUCCCUCCUCACCGCCGCCCCCUCUCCUUCAUCCCCUGCGAUCAGAUCUGAGCGAGAGAGAGUGCAGGUAAGUGCUGCUUCAGUCGUUAGAGAGAUCGUCGCCGGCCUCCCUUCUCGUCGCCGGCAGCGUCUCUGUGGCGGCCAAGGCGCGCUCGGGCAUGGAGCUCCUACCUCCUUUCCGUUCCGGGCGUUAGCAGAGGGGAUCCUCCUCUCUGGCACGCCCUCCGUGGCGGCUCCGUCAAGCCGGUGCGGAUCGUCGUGUCGCCCCGCCUCUUCUUCCCGCUACAUCAUCGUCGGCGCUUCCCCGACGUCUCCUGGGUGAGCAACCACCUUCUCCUUCCCGAUUCCCUGCGCAUAGAUCCCUCCUGGAGCCGUAGCAGCACCGUCGUCGUGCUCCUAUGUUGUCGCCGCCGUAGUGGUGUCGUGUUGUUGGUGUGGUGCUCCUCCCGGUGAGCUGGGGCCAGGAAUGGGUUCCUCUCGAACCCCUCUUCCUCCCCGCGAGUGGCCGCAGCUCAAUUUGGGCCGUAGCAUCGCCGGCCAUCUUCCCCUAUUCCGACCGCCGUGUUCUGUAGAAGUAUCAAACGGAGCUACCUAAGAGGGUUACCUCCCCCUCUCUAGUAAGCGUCGAUCGAAUAACAGAGUGGUAGUAGUGUGUUUCGCGGCGCAGUUGGUCGCGGGUUCGAGUCCCAGUGGAGCCUCCCCUUUUUAUUGUUGUGUUUUGUGAUCAGUAGCUCGAUAGGGAAACAUUUCCUGUUUCCCUUCCCCUCUCUGUCGAGCCCAAGGGCAGUAGUGUAGUGGUAGUGUAGGUGUGCUGUGGUUUAGCAGGACUUGGGUUCGAUCCCAAGCCCCCCCUUUUAUUUUUUACUUCUUCUUUUGCUGUUUGAAGUAGUGUAAGCUUGUUGCAUUGCUUGGGCAGCAAAUUAUUUGUGCCUAAGAACACAACUAGUAGGUUUCUUCUUUAUUGUUAGCUUUGUGUGCAUGUGUAGGUGAGUGUGCACAUGUGUUGAUGUAUGAGGAGGAGUUUGUUGUGUGNNNNNNNNNNNNNNNNNNNNNNNNNNNNNNNNNNNNNNNNNNNNNNNNNNNNNNNNNNNNNNNNNNNNNNGUGUGGUGGUGUGCUUAGGCACAAGUGCAUGAGAGCUACCCCUCAUGUUAACCAUUGGUGUUGUGAGGGUGAGCAUGUGCAAGUGUAGGUGUUGAGAUAAUGAACUUCACAUGUGAUAAUGCACUAUUUGGGCUUAUGUGAUUCUAGCUUGAUUUUUCAUUUUAACUUUAUGCCCACAUGUUAUAUGCAAACACCGAUGUAUUAUAUAUGGAUUUGGUGUAGAAUCAUCCCAGGAAUCCACUCGUGGAAUCAUAUUUCACUUUAGAGCAACUUCAUAAACUGUCAUUUUUCUGUCUUGAUGCUAUGUUUAGAGCUUGGUGCCAUGUGGUGUGUUGAGCCUACGAGGAUGAUUCCUUGAUGUGGCAAUAGUGGGUGAACCCCUCUACAUCAUGGUAGUUUUGUUUUUCUCAUAGGAGUUUGUAUGUGCUAGUUGUGCCUUGUCAAAGUUGACAUGUGGCUGAAAUUAUCAGCUUGGUGAAAUCUGUGAUUUUUACUAAGUUUGAGAAACUGCUGUUAUCUUCUUCCCUUGUUGUUGUGGUUGCAAAAGCUCAUGUGUUGGGAAUCAGCCCAUGCAAUCAACUAGAGAGUUGGAGCUUUUGUGUUUGUCUAGCUCUCUGUUAAAUUUCAUGUAUUUUCACUUCUUUUAGAUAUCAUUUUGGAGGCUGUCAAAAUGCUUCAGAGCAUAAGUAGCUCGUGAAAAUCUGAGAUUUUCACUAAGUCCCAGAAAUGUGCUAUUUUUGUCCAAGUUAGUGCGUGUAGAACUUCUUGUGUGUGGCUCCUUUGCAUUAUCUUCUUGCUCAGGCUUGUAGAGCUUUUGAAUGGCUUUUGCCCCAUAUCUUGGUUGGCACAUUUGGGUGGUUGUAGGUACUUUGCAUGUUGCUCACAAACUGCUAUGAUGGUGUUUAGGACAGAUUGCAUAGUUUUGUUGUUUUGAAGCUUGUGAGUGCAUAGUUGAUGGUGUGGUGUGAUUCCAAGCACCACCCCACUUCUAGUUGUUUGUUUGAUCAUGUGGAAACCUGGGAAUACCAGAAGAUUGCCAUUGGAGUGUGCUUGUGGUGGAAUUUAUCCGUAGCACUCCAUAUCUUGUUUCGUAGUUUCCGGUUGAUCCGUAGCUCCGUUCUCUACGUUCUUUAUAUGUUUUUUGCAUCAUUUUCUCGUGAUGCACCUGUUCAUGUCAUACUCAUGCAUGUCAAGAUAGCUUAGUGUGAAGUUUUGUACAGAAGUUAUCUUCUCUUCUCAUGCAUAUGCAAGUGACUAGAAUAGUGAUGCAUGUUUCACUCUCAUCUCAUGCAUCAUGUUGUUAUUGCAUCAUGUUGUGUUGGUGUCUAUUGGCUGUUAUUUUUUAUCUUGGGUAGCACCGGGAUCGGAGAGCUAGUUCGUGGAUUCUGGAGAGUACGUGCAGGACGAACAAGAGCAGUUUCAAGCUGAAGACUGUUGGGGAACGUCGCAUGGGAAACAAAAAAUUUCCUACGCGCACGAAGACCUAUCAUGGUGAUGUCCAUCUCCGAGAGGGGAUAUUCGAUCUACAUACCCUUGUAGAUCGCACAGCAGAAGCGUUAGUGAACGCGGUUGAUGUAGUGGAACGUCCUCACGUCCCUCGAUCCGCCCCGCGAACCGUCCCGCGAUCAGUCCCACGAUCUAGUGCCGAACGGACGGCACCUCCGCGUUCAGCACACGUACAGCUCGACGAUGAUCUCGGCCUUCUUGAUCCAGCAAGAGAGACGGAGAGGUAGAUGAAUUCUCUGGCAGCGUGACGACGCUCCGAAGGUUGGUGGUGAUCUUAUCUCAGCAGGGCUCCACCCGAGCUCCGCAGAAACGCGAUCUAGAGGUAAAACCGUGGAGAUAUGUGGUCGGGCUGCUGUGGCAAAGUUGUCUCAAAUCAGCCCUAAAACCUCCGUAUACAUAGUUGUCUCAAGGAGCCCCAAGGGGGUCGGCCGAGCCAAGGGAGGCAACCCUCCCCUUUCAAACCGAGUCCAACUAGGUUUGGAAGGAGGAGUCCUUCCCCCUUUUUCACCCCCUCUCUUUUUUUCUUUCUUUUCNCUCUUUGAUUUUCUUCCUAUGGCGCAUAGGGCCUUCUUGGGCUGUCCCACCAGCCCACUAAGGGAUGAUACACCACCCCCAAGGCCUAUGGGCUUCCCCGGGGUGGGUUGCCCCCCCCGGUGAACACCCGGAACCCAUUCGUCAUUCCCGGUACAUUCCCGGUAACUCCGAAAACCUUCCGGUAAUCAAAUAAGAUCAUCCUAUAUAUCAAUCUUCGUUUCCGGACCAUUCCGGAAACUCUCGUGACGUCCGUGUUCUCAUCCGGGACUCCGAACAACAUUCAGUAACCAACCGUAUAACUCAAAUACGCAUAAAACAACGUCGAACCUUAAGUGUGCAGACCCUGCGGGUUCGAGAACUAUGUAGACAUGACCCGAGUGACUCCUCGGUCAAUAUCCAAUAGCGGGACCUGGAUGCCCAUAUUGGAUCCUACACAUUCUACGAAGAUCUUAUCGUUUGAACCUCAGUGCCAAGGAUUCAUAUAAUCCCGUAUGUCAUUCCCUUUGUCCUUCGAUAUGUUACUUGCCCGAGAUUCGAUCGUCAGUAUCCGCAUACCUAUUUCAAUCUCGUUUACCGGCAAGUCUCUUUACUCAUUCCGUAAUACAAGAUCCCGCAACUUACACUAAGUCACAUUGCUUGCAAGGCUUGUGUGUGAUGUUGUAUUACCGAGUGGGCCCCGAGAUACCUCUCCGUCACACGGAGUGACAAAUCCCAGUCUCGAUCCUUACUAACUCAACGAACACCUUCGGAGAUACCUGUAGAGCAUCUUUAUAGUCACCCAGUUACGUUGCGACAUUUGAUACACACAAAGCAUUCCUCCGGUGUCACUGAGUUAUAUGAUCUCAUGGUCAUAGGAACAAAUACUUGACACGCAGAAAACAGUAGCAACAAAAUGACACGAUCAACAUGCUACGUCUAUUAGUUUGGGUCUAGUCCAUCACGUGAUUCUCCUAAUGACGUGAUCCAGUUAUCAAGCAACAACACCUUGUUCAUAAUCAGAAGACCCUGACUAUCUUUGAUCAACUGGCUAGCCAACUAGAGGCUUGCUAGGGACAGUGUUUUGUCUAUGUAUUCACACAUGUAUAUAAGUAUUCAUUCAAUACAAUUAUAGCAUGGAUAAUAAACGAUUAUCAUGAACUAAGAAAUAUAAUAAUAACUAAUUUAUUAUUGCCUCUAGGGCAUAUUUCCAACAAAGACAUCACAUGCAAGAUGACCGUGACCUUGAUACCGUAUCUAGCUUUGUUAUGCUUAGAAUCUCGUUUCCUUCGAUAUAUGCUCGCUGCCUACCACUUGAUAUAAUUGCCUCCUGAUAUUGCCAUGAAACCCAAACACCCUCCCCUCCUAGCUAAUGUUGUUUGGCUAAGUAGGCUUGCUCAGCUUCUAAUGAUAGCUUUGCUAGUUGCAGGUGCCAGCUGUCUCAUGUGAUAACAAGAGUAAUUUUGAUAUCAUUAUGAUUAAACUGUUAUUUAAGUAAUGCAUCUAUAUACUUGGUAAAUGACCGAAGGCCUAGCCUUUUUCGGGUGAUUUGUUCCGUUAUUGCCACAUUAGUUUUCGGCUACCGGUGUUUGAUCCCAUAACUGAUCGCUCCUAACACGUUCGGGGUUGUUAUGGGGACCCCCUUGAUAAAUCGUGUAGUGUUAAGACUUGUCCGGCAGGACCCAACAUUGGUUUUAAUUUGCUAACCACCUAAUAAUAAUUUGCAUAGGGAAUAGCUACCCCGAGGAAUUAAUCAACAACCCGGGCUAGUGCUCCUCAUGAGUGUUGGUCCAAACUAGAGCACUGUGCGGGGCCAACUCAGGGCAACUUGAGAGAUUUCUACCAGGCUACUGUACGCGUCGCUCAUCCGUCGUGUCCUGAGACUAAGAUACGCGGCUCUUAUCGGGGUCGUCGACACGACGGGAGGUCCUGCUAGUCUUGUCUUACCUUAGCGAUAUAUCUUGUGUAUAGGAAUCCCGGUGAAACUUUGGUUCUCCCCAGAGUUGAGGUUUUCCUCUAAAGAAUCCGACGAGAUCACGAGAUUCUUGAUACAGGAUUACUUUGCGGCCUGUGACCGUUUGUGAUGGACUAGUUGGAGCACCCCUGGAGGGUUUAAUCUUUCGGAAAGCCGUGCCCAUGGUUAUGUGGCAACAUGGAUAAUUUCUAAACAUCCGGUUAUAGAUAACUUGAACUAACUCUAAUAAAACUGCCAACUGUGUGCGUAACCGUGACUGUCCCCUUCGAAGACCUCUCUUCAAUCGGGAACACGGUGGAGUUAUGUUUGACGUAAGUAGGUGUUCAGGAUCCCUUAGGGAUCACCUAGUAUUCGUCCGUUCGCGUAAACCUCCAUACCUAAAACUCUGAUGUUCGUAAGUUAGCCACCAUAAAUGCUUAGGAUGCUGCAACCUAAACAUUGAACCUUCCUCGCCUAAUAACUUAACUAGUUUCGGUACAAAGGUCAUCGAUUGCUGAGUCCCCGUGGCUCACAGUUUACUACAACACCCCAACAGGUACAGGUACGCCCGACGCAGGUGAUCCAGAUGGCACGCAGCUGGCGUGGCAGUACGAUGAGGAGAACGACCACCUGUACGCGAACUAUCCAGAAGACUGAGGCCGUGGUCGUGAUCGUGGGCGAGCAUGCGGGAUAUCAUAGUCUUUUCCUUGUGUUAUGUAGUCCGUAGCAGAACUACCUUCUCUGAAUAAAUGUGUGGAUGUAACUCUGAUAUUAUCUAUGUGAGAUGACAAAUGAAUGCCCUAUUUAUCAAUCUUAAAUUAUGUAUGUGAUAUGUUUAUCUCGCUUGCGAAACGCUUAGAUGCACUUCUUUCCCUUUUUGGGGCAUUGCCGCCUAAAUAGGAAAGGACCGCAUCUUAGUCGUUACAAGUUGGUAAUCAGAGCCUUACGACCUUAGGAGCCUUUGUGUGAUCGUACUUGGCCGAGUCGAGUCUAGUAAAAUGUUUUGAGUCUUAGUUAUAUCGGAGAGUAGGUUUGUUUUUUCUCCUCUUCCAUGCUCUGGUGAGGUUCUCGACUUAGGAAAUCUUAAUUCUACUCCUCUUCUUGCUCAAAUUUUGUUAGGAUCACGCGGGUAUUUUGAAAUCUAUAUGAUAUCGAUGUGACGGAGUUCUGUCUUGGUGCCUCCUGUCUGCCUUGAUUUCUUCCGGAGAGUUGAGCUCCAGGGGAUUCUCGUGCACAUCGCCAUCAUUCAGAUUUCUGAGUAUCUCAGAACGAAGGAUGUUCGUAAUUGCUUCAAUACUAGUGGUGGCGAGAUAACCCUGAUGUCCCUAAUACUGGUGCAGAUUGUUCGGGAGUACUGCCAUACUUUGUAUCAUUGUGAUCACGAGGGUCUGUAGUAGAUGAAGGUUCGAGAUUCUGGUUAUGUGUUGACGGAUGUGAUACACAGGACGGGUUAGUAUAGGAGUUGUGUGAAUAUUACUCCUUGUAUCCGUGUACCAGACUGCAUGACCAGAUAUUUCGGGAAUUUAUAGGUGGGAUUUCAAGUAGUGACUUAUAGGACAAUAUUCCUACAGAUGCAUGAUGUGAGGUUGGGAUUCGACAUUCAGUGGGUACGUUUGUUCAUGGUCGUCUUACAGCGGUUCUCGUUGUGUCUUAAAGAGUCCUUGUAGCUUCUACGACUCGGGGAUGCUUUGUAAGUCGUGUGCACUACCUUGCACAGGAUGGCUACUGUAAUUUCGAGCCCGUGCGAUCAUAUCCACGAAGAUAUCGGAUGAAAUCUCGAUCAUAUGUUUGUUUCGAGCAGUUCUAGCUCAUACUUAGUUUGCAAGUGGUCUUAAUCAGAAUUUUGUCGACAGUCACUUUGAGGAAGCAUUCUUACUAUUUUGGUCGAGUGCAAUUGCUAUGUUCCUGUUCAGAUAUUCCUGCCUUUUUGAUUCAGCUUUAGCUUCAAUAUUAUUCUGUGGGCUAAUGUGUUGUCCUUCUUCAGGAUGGCUCCACCAACUCAUCAGAAUCCAGGUCGUGAG